UUAUAUCCGUUGAAAAGAAAAGUAAACUUGGAACGCUUAUUAGAGAGGCUCUGUCUUGGUGCAAAGAGCUAAGUGAGAAAAAGUUGAAAAUGGUCUUAGAGGAUAGUAUAUCGAUAGGUAGGUAUACUCAGAAGAUUCCACUGUUAAAAGGAAUACUGAUACUAGUCAAUUAAACUAGUUGUCAGAGUUGAGGGAAUUUAUUUCCGAACAAAAGGUGGUAACGCGAUACGUCGUCCUUUUA
rnacentral:ncRNA from 1 species